rnacentral:rRNA from 1 species
CUAACAAGGAUUCCCCUAGUAACGGCGAGUGAAGCGGGAAGAGCUCAAAUUUGAAAUCUGGCGGCCUCAGGUCGUCCGAGUUGUAGUCUGGAGAAGCGUUUUCUGCGCCGGACCGUGUACAAGUCCCUUGGAACAGGGCGUCAUAGAGGGUGAGAAUCCCGUCUUUGACACGGGCCUGCCGGUGCUUUGUGAUGCGCUCUCGAAGAGUCGAGUUGUUUGGGAAUGCAGCUCAAAACGGGUGGUAAAUUCCAUCUAAAGCUAAAUAUUGGCGAAAGACCGAUAGCGAACAAGUACCGUGAGGGAAAGAUGAAAAGCACUUUGGAAAGAGAGUUAAACAGUACGUGAAAUUGUUGAAAGGGAAACGCUUGAAGUCAGUCGCGUCUUCCGGGACUCAGCCUUGCUUUUGCUUGGUGUAUUUCCUGGGGUGACGGGCCAGCAUCGAUUUCGACCGUCGGAGAAAGGCUUUGGGAAUGUGGCACCUUCGGGUGUGUUAUAGCCCUUGGUCGCAUGCGACGGUUGGGAUCGAGGAUCGCAGCACGCCUUCAAUGGCCGGGGUUCGCCCACGUAACGUGCUUAGGAUGCUGGCGUAAUGGCUUUA